CCACUCGCAACAAUUUUUUCACCAUCACAAGUCUUUGUUCUUGUUUGUUCUCAUCAAGAGGCCAUUUCCGAUCCAUUGUCGAAAGGGGGGUCAAUAACAAAGGGCUUGUACAUCAACUUUUUGCACCUCCAAUGAUGUGUGAGUAGUUCACCACAGACCUACGGGGCGAUGGUGAUUAGCUAGAUGGCCUAUUCUCUCUCUUUGAUCUUCAAUACCAUGUUCUCUCCGGAGAUUUAUUCAAUGUAAUCUUCUUUUG
rnacentral:lncRNA from 1 species